UUAAAGAGUUCUAUAACUCCCAAACCCAUGUGAACAUACCUAACGUUGCCUCGGCAGGUCGCACCUACCUUGUAGCACCCUACCCUGUAGGGCCUACCCGGGAGGUGCGGGUAAGCCUGCCGGCGGCCCACCAAACUCUGUUUGAUAUUGAAUUCUGAACCUAUAACUAAAUAAGUUAAAACUUUCAACAACGGAUCUCUUGGUUCUGGCAUCGAUGAAGAACGCAGCGAAAUGCGAUAAGUAAUGUGAAUUGCAGAAUUCAGUGAAUCAUCGAAUCUUUGAACGCAUAUUGCGCCCAUUAGUAUUCUAGUGGGCAGGACCGUUCGAGCGUCAUUUCAACCCUUAAGCCUUCGUUGCUUAGUGUUGGGAGCCUACGGCAACGUAGCUCCUCAAAGUUAGUGGCGGAGUUGGUUCACACUCUAGACGUAGUAAUUUUUUAUCUCGCCUAUUAGUUGGACUAAUCCCCUGCCGUAAAACCCCCAAUUUAUCAAGGUUGACCUCGAAUCGGUUCAGACAAACUCGCUAAAUUGAAGCAUCUUAGUCAGCGAAGGAAAAGAAACCAACAGGGAUUGCCCUAGUAACGGCGAGUGAAGCGGCAACAGC
rnacentral:rRNA from 1 species